rnacentral:rRNA from 1 species
ACCUUCGGGCCUUGCGCUAUCACAUGAGCCUAGGUCGGAUUAGCUAGUUGGUGGGGUAAUGGCUCACCAAGGCGACGAUCCGUAACUGGUCUGAGAGGAUGAUCAGUCACACUGGAACUGAGACACGGUCCAGACUCCUACGGGAGGCAACAGUGGGGAAUAUUGGACAAUGGGCGAAAGCCUGAUCCAGCCAUGCCGCGUGUGUGAAGAAGGUCUUCGGAUUGUAAAGCACUUUAAGUUGGGAGGAAGGGCAUUAACCUAAUACGUUAGUGUUUUGACGUUACCGACAGAAUAAGCACCGGCUAACUCUGUGCCAGCAGCCGCGGUAAUACAGAGGGUGCAAGCGUUAAUCGGAAUUACUGGGCGUAAAGCGCGCGUAGGUGGUUUGUUAAGUUGGAUG